AUUGAACGCUGGCGGCAGGCCUAACACAUGCAAGUCGAACGAGUGGCGGACGGGUGAGUAAUGUCUGGGAAACUGCCCGAUGGAGGGGGAUAACUACUGGAAACGGUAGCUAAUAUCGCAUACCAUCGGAUGUGCCCAGAUGGGAUUCGCUUGUAGGUGAGUUAACGGCUCCCCUAGGCGACGAUCCCUAGCUGGGCUGAGAGGAUGACCAGCCACCCGGGAACUGUGACACGGUCCAGACUCCUACGGGAGGCAGCAGUUGGGAAUAUUGCACAAUGGGCGCAAGCCUGAUUCAGCCAUGCCGCGUGUAUGAAGAAGGCCUUCGUGUUGUAAAGUACUUUCAGCGGGGAGGCGUUACCCGCAGAAGAAGCACCGGCUAACUCCGUGCCAGCAGCCGCGGUAAUAC
rnacentral:rRNA from 1 species